CAAGUACUCCCUCCGUCCGGAAUUACUUGUCAUCAAAAUGGAUGUGUCUACAACUAAAAUACAUCUAGAUACAUCCAUUUCAAUGACAAGUAUUUUCGGACGGAGGGAGUACAAG
rnacentral:pre_miRNA from 1 species